rnacentral:rRNA from 1 species
GACGUAGGGGGCCAGCGUUGCUCGGAAUCACUGGGCGUAAAGGGUGCGUAGGCGGCCCUGUAAGUAUGGUGUGAAAUCUCCCGGCUUAACUGGGAGGGUGCGCUAUAGACUGCGGGGCUCGAGUGUGGGAGAGGAAAGUGGAAUUCCUGGUGUAGCGGUGAAAUGCGUAGAUAUCAGGAGGAACACCGGUGGUGUAAACGGCUUUCUGGACCAUAACUGACGCUGAGGCACGAAAGCGUGGGUAGCAAACAGG